GACGAACGCUGGCGGCGUGCCUAAUACAUGCAAGUCGAACGCAGUGGGGACGGGUGAGUAACACGUGGGUAACCUCCCAUCAGAGGGGAUAACACUUGGAAACAGGUGCUAAACCGAUAUUGAUGGAUGGACCCGCGGUGCAUUCGCUAGUAGGUGGGGAAAAGGCUCACCUAGGCCACGAUCUCUAGCUGGUCGGAGAGAAUGAUCAGCCACACUGGGACUGAGAAACGGCCCAGACUCCUACGGGAGGCAGCAGUGGGGAAUAUUGCACAAUGGGCGAAAGCCUGAUGCAGCCAGGCCGGGUGUAUGAAGAAGGCCUUAGGGUUUUAAAGUACUUUAGGCGGGGAGGCGUAACCCGCAGAAGAAGCACCGGCUAACUCCGUGCCAGCAGCCGCGGUAAUA
rnacentral:rRNA from 1 species